rnacentral:rRNA from 1 species
AUGCCCGUCACAGACAUUUUGAUUGCCGCACAGUCACGCGCGGCCCUCUCCUUCUCCCACUUGUUUCCCAGCACCUGCCAAUUCUUCUUUGGCACGGUCGCUUUUCCGUCCGCUCCCCCACUUUGCUCAUCGUCGUCAACCAACCCAAUAGAUUGUUGGGAGCUUGAGCCAUUGUUGAGCUUAAUGGCGAGUUGUGACUUAGGUUUCCCAUUCAGUUUCAACCAACAACAGGGCAAAGUGAAUGGCUUGCCCUUGGUUUGGUUGAACAAAUUGGAUCCAUGCUUGUGGCCAACCAAGAUUCACACCAUACAUCUUCAUGGCUUGUGAAUGCCGAGCCUCUUGCCUUUGCUACCUUCUUAUUUUAGUGCGCGGUAUUUGCGCAACAUCAAGUAAUUGGUACCAACCAAGCCAUAUUGCAUAGGCUCUUGACCAUCAUUUAUCAUGUUCAUAAAAAAUAUGCAUCACAAUAAAACCACCAUUCCUAAAUUGAUCCGAUGGUAUGUGCAACAAACGAAGCAAGCAAUACAAAUGGCAUAUGGGGCAAAUUGUACCGUGUCUUGGUCGGCUACUUCAUCGAACAACACGUGGGCAUGCCCGAUGCCGGCUUUAUCCGCUGCCUUUGGAGUUGCAGCGAGCAUUCGGAUGUUGGAACGGAGUCAAGAACGCUCGACAACAUGUUCCCUCUUGCAGGUAGGUAGGAUGACGCGGAGGCAGCCGCAAGACCAGACGCGCCCAAGUCCAUGUCUACGACCUCUUUCUCAGCAACUUCCUUCUUCGUAGCUUCUCAGACGCGCUGCCAGGAGUGCCGCUCCCUCUGGGCGAUGUCCUCUGCCUUGCAAGCGACGACGGUCGGGACCGUCACAGACUUCGCCGAGCUAUCGUCCAUGGCGGCGGUGGAGACAGGGUCCUUGGUGUCGAGGUCAGACAACUAACGAGGACGACGCAGACGGGGAGCAAGGGUGGGGGGAGGGCGAUGGCUCAGACAAGGGAAAUUGAGAAAGAACGCGGGAGCAGUGCGGUCAAUUUCAUGGACAAUUUUGAGCGAAUUCGGGGUUUCGGCGUCCCAUAUUCCUACCACAUAUGGGCUGGAUUUGAGGGAUGCUGAACAAUCCGGAUAUUUGGGCCGGCUUUCAGAGAUCCGAUUGGAUGGCGUUUUUGGGUCCGGGCAAUGACCGGGUUAUCCGCACGUUCGAGAGUGAGGGUCCUGUUAUAGAUCCUCCACCAGCUCAUUUGCUUUAAGUGGCCAGUAGAAUACUGAAACCAGAGGUGUAGAAAAUGAUUGGAAGCCCAUCAAGAACCUUUUCAAUAUGAACAGGAGGAGGCAAUCACAGGAAACACGUGGAAGGUGGACUACACAUGAUUCCAUGUAUUCGGCCACGACCUCGCCAUGACCAUCGUUGGACCUUGAACAGAGAACAACACCGUCGCCGUCGAUGCACACAUGCCACAAAGCGAUAGAUAUGUUAAUCAAACGAGAGAUCCCAAUAGUACCACUACAACAUCGACUUAAAAUAACACGUUGUCAUAUUCAACACACUUGCUGACACUAGCACCAACAACUCGCCGAUCGAGCAACUGAAACUUCAGCGAAAGCGUGUCCAAGUGUCGCUAGAAGACUACGGUCCAGGCCAGGUCCGUACUCGUCUGCCUGAAAAGAAGUCUCUACUCGUCGUUUGCCGUUCAAGCGUUUCACCGUGGACAGCAUGUUUCCCCGGUCGCUGGCUACGUGGCUCUGCUUCUGGUUCACACUGGCAACGCUUCUCCUGUUCAAUUCAAUCUACUCGUCAUUGAAAUUUUCCUCUCUUUGGUUUCCCACCUCGGAGAAAUCUUUGAUUCUAGAUGCAUGUCUUCAGCCUGCAUAUAUAAUAAUAUAUGUCAGAUGACUAGUUAUGGUAUGAGAAUAAUAUUGUUUUUGGCACAUAUCCUUUCUAGCAUAUGUUUUGUAUUUAUUAUCAUGAACUGUCCUCAUGGAUGCUUAAGCUCCAAAUACCUCUGUUUAACUUGGAAUCCUGCUAUUUUUUUCCAGAAUGUCCUAAAUUAUACAUAAAAUUUUAAAUAUAUAAAUCAUCCUUCUAGAUUGCAUUCUUGCUGGCCCUAAUCCCAAGCCCGAGCCUAGCCUAGCCACAAAUAAAUAACAAAUAAUAGCAUUCUUUCUAUUUAGAAAUGUCAUUUAAUCAUUUUUUGGGAUAUAUGAAUACAUUAUUACCCCUAUAUAUCUGUUAACUCCUAGUUUUUGGGUAUUUGGGGCUUUUUAUCAGGCUUUCGGGCCAAGCUUCGACUAGAAUACUAAGCGAGAGCCUGGCGUGACCACCCGACUUUCUUGCUAGGGCAGUCCGACUGGGCGGUCCAUGCAUAGACCUAGCCCCAUCCAUGAGAUAAAAAAAUAAGGGUUAAUUUGAUAACACCUCAAAAUCGAAAAAUGCCACUGCGAAAAUAGACUUGAAAAAAUGCUGCUCUAAUUUUUGGAUACUAAAAUAAAGAUAUUUUAACACUUUGAGCAUAAUAAAUACAUGUCAAAAUUGUUGAUGUAUGUGUGCCCGUCGAACCAACCCAAGCUUGCGACAUAAUUGGUGUUUCAAUUAAUGAAGUGAAGCUGCUUGCUUCAUAGAGAGAUUAAUUAAGGAUGUGUUGGACUACAAUAACCUCGUUUGCUCAAUCCUCUUUUGGCUAUUUUAGUAGUAUUUGCUUAGCCCUUAUUGCCCACUUUUGUAUCUAAUUUUAUAUGGUAAGUUAUGAGAUAAUCAUAGCGCAACAUUGUUCAUGAACCGGAAAUCGGUCCAGUGUUGUUAUAUGGGAUGGUAGCAGUUUUGCCCAAAAAAAUCUCGAACUCCUGAGGGGUAGGAUGGGCGAAGGAAGUUUUAAAACCCAUGGGCGGCGCUUUCAAUUUAUAUUCAGUGUAAGAAAGUUCAAGAACGGCGAAAAUCUUGAUUUUUUGGUUAGGCACUGGCUUAUACGCAAGGAAAGCCAAAGCCAAACACCCAGUGAGUAUAAAUUUCACGAAAUUAUAGAGGUCAACAUAGGUUUAUACGUUUGUUUCUAAAAAAAAGAGAGCUACUUUUGCUAAAGAAAAAGGAAAUAAAACGCGGUGCUGUUUGGGACGGGAGAAGUUAAGACGGACGCUCGCUGUGAAAAAAAGAAGUUCGGAUAAAUCGGCAUGCCAAGGAACGAAGUGGACGUCCCGGCGGCCGCGAGAGCGAGUUGCGCACACUUGUCAGCCGGGCUCCCGCGUGGAACCUUCUGCGGCUGCCUCUGCCUACGUGUGCGACGCCAUCGCCCCAAUCGCGUACCGCGUUGCCGUGAGUAGGCCCAUCACUACCUCGUGCUCAUUCCGGGCCGAGCUCGCAAU